rnacentral:rRNA from 1 species
AUGCGGCUGUACGCCCCCGACCAGGUGACGCUGCAGGCCGUCGGCGGCACGGGCAUCUACGUGGUCGUCGCGGCGCCUAACGACGUGCUCCCCAACCUCGCCGCCAGCCCGGCGGCCGCCGCCUCGUGGGUCAGGAGCAACAUCCAGGCGUACCCCAAGGUUUCCUUCCGGUACGUCUGCGUCAGAAACGAGGUCGCCGGCGGCACCACCCAGAACCUCGUCCCGGCAAUGAAGAACGUGCAUGGCGCGCUCGCUUCCGCCGGGCUGGGCCACAUCAAGGUGACCACGUCGGUGUCGCAGGCCAUCCUCGCCGUCAUUGCAAGGAGGAUAGACGUAGCUAGAUGUGUUGGAAGAGAGGGGCUUUGUAUACCAUGUAAAACUUGA